rnacentral:lncRNA from 1 species
GGAGCCAUCCUGGAAGCGCGAAUCUGGUACCGGGACUUGGGGAGCGAGGGAUGCAACAUGGUGCAUCUGGGAGGCCUGCUAACUGGCUAACUUCUCCGGCGUUCCUCCCGGCCGAGGCGUGGGCACAGAAUAGCGCAGGUGAGGCCCAGAUAUGGUGUCUCGAUACGGCGCGGAAGGUCAGUAUGUACCUCGUUUUGUAUAUUGUCUUGAAACUUUACUCCUUUGUAUGUUUGAAGACAUCAUUUUCCAGUUUUGGAGCCGACUAAUGAACUAGUUCUUAAGUGAAAGGCAUUUAACACGACUGUGCAUCUACAGGUACUAGGUUUCCAAGAUGCCUUUCCAGACUAAAACCCACACAUGUGAGCCGCUGGCCGGACAAACAUCUGGCACCUAACGUGGGGCUGAAAAACAGCAGAGGACAUUUGGAAGAAACACUGCUGGUUUGGAGCUCCAUAGAAGAAGAAAAUAAUUAAAGGAAAUUCAUACCAGAGAAGGAAGCUGCAGCUCCUCUCCUCUGGAUCUUUAUGACCACACCAGGAAGCAUUGUGAUCUGCAGUCACUGCCAACCUGCAGGAUAACACAGCUUGUUCCUCUGGGAACUGCCCUGCAGUGUCUGCAUACAGCCACCCUCGACCUGUCUGCCUGGUCUUUGCAACCUCUAGUGGCUGUUGUUCCACAAUGUGUUGUGAAGAGACCUGAAUGGUUUGCACCAAAACACAAACACAAACCAUUGGGAGAGUGAUUGGUGAAGUGAUGGACAUUUACUCGGGCAAAGGCAUGCAUGUAAAAUAGUCCCUAUCUGGAUGGACCUACGCCUGUGGCAGGAAGUUCACUGGUCAAUUACCUGCUGACUGAAGUGGCCUAUUUUCUUCUGACCCCCUGCUUCUCUCUUCCCCUCUCCGCCCUGAAAGCUGUUUGGGCAUAGGGAGGUCUUGACCUGAGGAAACCAUCUUGGGUAACCAAGGCAAGGAAAGGGAAUAUGCAACACCUAGGAGAUUUCAGCAAACAGUAGAAUCAUGCCAACGUAAUCUGUGUUAAAAUGCUUGGAAUGUGGGAGCCGCCGGUGAUGUCUGUUGUCUGUGUGUCUCCAGUAAUCCUUUCUUUUUUAAGUGCAGCAAAGCCAAGCCUGGAAACCAGGCCAAGCGCCUGCCACUUACCUUAAAUUUAUCAGCCACUUUGAGAUUAAAACCCCUGAAAGCUGCUGCACAGUGAAAGCAAGGCCUCCUUCACAUUAAAGGCAAAUCGCAACUCUGG